GUCUGAGCUUUCCUUCUCUCCUGAGCCAUCUGGAAUUUAUUUCCCUGUAAAUCUGUUCUCUUCGUCUUUCACACAUGAGCAGCACAGGCAAGCCUGUCUAUCUAUCAGCAAGGCAGACCCAGGUUAGAAGCCACCAAUUUCACGCAAGCAGGGUCGGUCCCGCUGGAGACCCGGAACUUCUCCUAUGUAGUAAGCAGCUGUCUGCUCUUCAGGGAAUUACUACCUGGGGAUUGUUACCAAAGAGCUCUGCAAUCUGAGAGAUGCUGAGACAGGGACUCUCACCGGCUGCUCCUCUGGCAGCCUCCAGCGGAAGCCACAGAUCCCGUGAAUCUCCCAGGCAACCUGUUCCAAACCCAGGCGGACCUCUUCCUGACGCGUGUCUGUGCCUGGGGUACACAGGGCAUAGAGGAAGCCUUUGCCAGACAUGCGGCAGAGCCACGCGGUUUCCAAAGCCAGGACUAAGCGCGAUUCCUUGGUGUGUGUUGGUCCAUUAUUGUUCUUGGUGCCUUAAUGCUCUCAAAGCAUUUAGGGGCUGACAGACCCCUUGUAUUUCAUACUAAACAGGAGCAAUUCCAAAGCCGAGCUCUUCUGGGUAGGCUCCAAAUGACCUCUGUGGCUCAGCCCCCUGGGUGUGAUCGGUGGGGCACCUGGGGUCAGGGAAGCUGGGGUAUGCAGAGGACAACGAGUGGGAUCUCCUUGGUCACUUUCCUGGUGGUCGGGCCCGGCAAUUAGAAAAUGGCUAUAAAAUAACGUUAAUUAAAAAAAAAAAGGAUCUUAUUCAUUUUCCCUUUAGGAGAUUGAACUGAUCAUGUAUAUUAAUUUCUAUCCUGAAUUGAUGGGAACUUAUAUGUUUGGAAUGUCCUACUGUAAGACUGAUGAAUGUAAAGAGUUAAUUUCAGGGUACAGUAUUGCCUUAAUGG
rnacentral:lncRNA from 1 species